rnacentral:rRNA from 1 species
CGUAGGGUGCAAGCGUUAAUCGGAAUUACUGGGCGUAAAGCGUGCGCAGGCGGUUUUAUAAGUCAGCUGUGAAAUCCCCGGGCUCAACCUGGGAAUGGCAGUUGAGACUGUAAGGCUAGAGUGUGUCAGAGGGGGGUAGAAUUCCACGUGUAGCAGUGAAAUGCGUAGAGAUGUGGAGGAAUACCGAUGGCGAAGGCAGCCCCCUGGGAUAACACUGACGCUCAUGCACGAAAGCGUGGGGAGCAAACAGGAUUAGAUACCCUGGUAGUCCACGCCCUAAACGAUGUCAACUAGUUGUCGGGACUUAAUAGUCUUGGUAACGCAGCUAACGCGUGAAGUUGACCGCCUGGGGAGUACGGUCGCAAGAUUA